ensembl:rRNA 5S_rRNA 5S ribosomal RNA
ACACAUUAUACACCCUGAUUAGCUUCCAGAUCUUGUUCGAUCUUGGAAGCUAAUCAGGGUUGGGCCUGGGGACUUGGGUGGGACGCUGCCUCCCCAGUGGUGUGUUAAAGCCAGUGUGUC